UACAGAGGUCUCAAGCGUUAAUCGGAAUUACUGGGCUUAAAGGGUCCGCAGGCGGACCAGCAAGUACCUUGUGAAAUCUCAGGUCUCAACCCUGAGUCUGCUAGGUAGACUGCUGGUCUUGAGUGCAAAAGGGGUCGCUGGAACUCUAGGUGGAGCGGUGAAAUGCGUAGAUAUCAGGAAGAACACCCGUGGCUAAGGCGGCUCUCUAGUACGGUACUGACGCUGAGACGCGAAAGCGUGGGGAGCGAACAGG
rnacentral:rRNA from 1 species